CCUACGGGUGGCAGCAGUGGGGAAUAUUGCACAAUGGGGGAAACCCUGAUGCAGCGACGCCGCGUGAAGGAAGAAGUAUUUCGGUAUGUAAACUUCUAUCAGCAGGGAAGAAAAUGACGGUACCUGACUAAGAAGCCCCGGCUAACUACGUGCCAGCAGCCGCGGGAAUACGUAGGGGGCAAGCGUUAUCCGGAUUUACUGGGUGUAAAGGGAGCGGAGGCGGCGGUGAAAGUCAGGAGGGAAAGCCCGGGGCGCAACGCCCGGCCUGCUUUUGAAAAUGGAUGGCUAGAGUGCAGGAGAGGUAAGUGGAAUUCCUAGUGUAGCGGUGAAAUGCGUAGAUAUUAGGAGGAACACCAGUGGCGAAGGCGGCUUGCUGGACUGUAAAUGACGCUGAGGCUCGAAAGCGUGGGGAGCAAACAGGAUUAGAUACCCUUGUAGUC
rnacentral:rRNA from 1 species